rnacentral:rRNA from 1 species
UUUAUGGAGAGUUUGAUCCUGGCUCAGAACGAACGCUGGCGGCGUGCUUAAUACAUGCAAGUCGAACGAGAAAGGCUGGCUUCGGCCGGCCCGGUAAAGUGGCGAACGGGUGAGUAACACGUGGGCAAUCUACCCUCGAAUCUGGGAUAAUCCUUCGAAAGGAGGUCUAAUACCGGAUAAGACCACAAGGUGGCAUCAUCAAGUGGUCAAAGGCGGAGCAAUCUGCCGUUUGAGGAUGAGCCCGCGCCCCAUUAGCUUGUUGGUGAGGUAACGGCUCACCAAGGCUGCGAUGGGUAGCCGGCUUGAGAGAGUGAUCGGCCACACUGGGACUGAGAUACGGCCCAGACUCCUACGGGAGGCAGCAGUAGGGAAUAUUGCGCAAUGGACGAAAGUCUGACGCAGCAACGCCGCGUGCGGGAUGAAGCUUCUUGGAGUGUAAACCGCUGUCAGAAGGGACGAAUGGCUAUGAUUCCAAUACAAUCAUAGUUUGACGG